rnacentral:rRNA from 1 species
UUGAACUGAAGAGUUUGAUCCUGGCUCAGAUUGAACGCUGGCGGCAUGCCUUACACAUGCAAGUCGAACGGCAGCACGGGUGCUUGCACCUGGUGGCGAGUGGCGAACGGGUGAGUAAUACAUCGGAACAUGUCCUGUAGUGGGGGAUAGCCCGGCGAAAGCCGGAUUAAUACCGCAUACGAUCCACGGAUGAAAGCGGGGGACCUUCGGGCCUCGCGCUAUAGGGUUGGCCGAUGGCUGAUUAGCUAGUUGGUGGGGUAAAGGCCUACCAAGGCGACGAUCAGUAGCUGGUCUGAGAGGACGACCAGCCACACUGGGACUGAGACACGGCCCAGACUCCUACGGGAGGCAGCAGUGGGGAAUUUUGGACAAUGGGCGAAAGCCUGAUCCAGCAAUGCCGCGUGUGUGAA